GGACUAAGUAAACGGAUAAGGUUAUGGUAUACAGAGAAAGUAGGCGGAGAACUUGGAAAAAAGAUGUCUGGAAGACAAGGCGGAAAAAAGAAGCCCUUAAAACAGCCCAAAAAAGCUGACAAAGAUUUAGACGACGAUGAUGUAACGUUGAAGGAAAAGUUACGAGAAGAGAAGAAGAAAAUGGCUGAAGCUCAAGCAAGAGCAGCUCAGAAAGGACCCAUGGGUGGGAGUGGUAUUAAAAAAAGUAAAAAAUGAUUCGCAAGAAAGAAGAUCACAAAACUAAUUAAUAAUAAUAAUUAUUAUUAACAUUGAUAUUAAUUAUUGUUUAAUUUUGAUUUUUGAUGACCGCAUUCUUCUCAUGUGAUUAUACAUAAAUCCAUUCUUUUCCUGUAAUUCAACCAUA